GGAUGUGAAGGUGAUCUGGCUGUGACAUCUGUCACCCCACUGAUCUUUACGGUUGAUUCGGCUGAUCUGGCUGGCUGGCAGGUGUCCCCUUCCUCCCUCACCCAUCCAGGUGCAUCCCUCCCUCAGUCAAAGAGGACAAUCAUCCUGGAGAGACGACAAGCUCACCUACUAGAACCUCCAAAAAGAAGUUUUAGGAAAUGUGUUGGGGGAUGGUGGGAAACUUUUGGAAAUUAUGCAGGUUUUAGUAUAGUCCACCUCUAUUGCUCAGGACUUAUUUCCA
rnacentral:snRNA from 1 species